rnacentral:rRNA from 1 species
AUUGAACGCUGGCGGCAGGCCUUACACAUGCAAGUCGAACGAGCGGCGGACGGGUGAGUAAUGAAUGGGAAUCUUCCUGGUGGAUGGGGAUAACGACGGGAAACUGUUGCUACUAACGCCUACCAUGGGAUGAGCCCGAAUGGGAUUAGCGAGUUGGUGGGGUAACGGCCUACCAAGGCGACGAUCUCUAGCUGGUCUGAGAGGAUGACCAGCCACACGGGGACUGAGACACGGCCCAGACUCCUACGGGAGGCAGCAGGGGGGAAUAUUGCACAAUGGGGGCAACCCUGAUGCAGCCAUGCCGCGUGUAUGAAGAAGGCCUUCGGGUUGUAAAGUACUUUCGGUAGGGAGGCGUUACCGACAGAAGAAGCACCGGCUAACUCCGUGCCAGCAGCCGCGGUAAUAC